CCCUUAGAUGUCCUGGGCCGCACGCGCGCUACACUGAUGCAUGCAACGAGUUUAUAACCUUGGCCUGAAAGGUCUGGGUAAUCUUUUGAACGUGCAUCGUGAUAGGGAUAGAUUAUUGCAAUUGUUAAUCUUGAACGAGGAAUUCCUAGUAAACGCGAGUCAUCAGCUCGCAUUGAUUACGUCCCUGCCCUUUGUACACACCGCCCGUCGCACCUACCGAUUGAAUGGUUCGGUGAAGAUCUCGGACUUCGAUAUUUAUUCUUUAUUGAGUUUAUAUUGUGGGAAGUUAUCUAAACCUCAUCAUUUAGAGAAAGGUGAAGUCGUAACA
rnacentral:rRNA from 1 species